rnacentral:rRNA from 1 species
UACGUAGGGGGCAAGCGUUGUCCGGAUUUAUUGGGCGUAAAGAGCGUGUAGGCGGCCAGGUAGGUCAGCUGUGAAAACUCGAGGCUCAACCUCGAGACGUCGGUUGAAACCAUCUGGCUAGAGUCCGGAAGAGGAGAGUGGAAUUCCUGGUGUAGCGGUGAAAUGCGCAGAUAUCAGGAAGAACACCCGUGGCGAAGGCGGCUCUCUGGGCCGUAACUGACGCUGAGGAGCGAAAGCAUGGGGAGCGAACAGG